rnacentral:rRNA from 1 species
UUAGAGUGGCAAACGGGUGAGUAACACGUGGGCGACCUACCUCAGAGUGGGGGAUAACCUUCCGAAAGGAGGGCUAAUACCGCAUGACAUGCCGUGUUUGGAUACACGGACAUCAAAGCCGGGGAUCGCAAGACCUGGCGCUUGGAGAGGGGCCCGCGUCCGAUUAGCUAGUUGGUGAGGUAACGGCUCACCAAGGCUCCGAUCGGUAUCCGGCCUGAGAGGGCGGACGGACACACUGGAACUGAGACACGGUCCAGACUCCUACGGGAGGCAGCAGUGGGGAAUUGUUCGCAAUGGGCGAAAGCCUGACGACGCAACGCCGCGUGGAGGAUGAAGAAUUUCGGUUCGUAAACUCCUUUCGACCAAGAUGAAUACCCAUGGGCUUAAUACACCUGUGGGCUGACAGUAUUGAGAGAAGAAGCCCCGGCUAACUCUGUGCCAGCAGCCGCGGUAAUACAGGGGGGGCAAGCGUUGUUCGGAAUUACUGGGCGUAAAGGGUUCGUAGGUGGCCAACUAAGUCAGACGUGAAAUCCCUCAGCUUAACUGGGGAACUGCCUCUGAUACUGGUUGGCUUGAGUGCAGGAGAGGAAUGCGGAAUUCCAGGUGUAGCGGUGAAAUGCGUAGAUAUCUGGAGGAACACCGGUGGCGAAGGCGGCAUUCUGGACUGUAACUGACACUGAGGAACGAAAGCCAGGGGA